rnacentral:rRNA from 1 species
CGCUGGCGGCAUGCCUUACACAUGCAAGUCGAACGGUAACAGGUCUUCGGAUGCUGACGAGUGGCGAACGGGUGAGUAAUACAUCGGAACGUGCCCGAGAGUGGGGGAUAACGGAGCGAAAGCUUUGCUAAUACCGCAUACGAUCUACGGAUGAAAGCAGGGGACCGCAAGGCCUUGCGCUCAUGGAGCGGCCGAUGGCAGAUUAGGUAGUUGGUGGGAUAAAAGCUUACCAAGCCGACGAUCUGUAGCUGGUCUGAGAGGACGACCAGCCACACUGGGACUGAGACACGGCCCAGACUCCUACGGGAGGCAGCAGUGGGGAAUUUUGGACAAUGGGCGCAAGCCUGAUCCAGCCAUGCCGCGUGCAGGAUGAAGGCCUUCGGGUUGUAAACUGCUUUUGUACGGAACGAAAAGACUCCUUCUAAUAAAGGGGGUCCAUGACGGUACCGUAAGAAUAAGCACCGGCUAACUACGUGCCAGCAGCCGCGGUAAUACGUAGGGUGCAAGCGUUAAUCGGAAUUACUGGGCGUAAAGCGUGCGCAGGCGGUUAUAUAAGACAG